rnacentral:rRNA from 1 species
AACGAACGCUGGCGGCAGGCCUAACACAUGCAAGUCGAGCGCCCCGCAAGGGGAGCGGCAGACGGGUGAGUAACACGUGGGAACCUUCCCUAUAGUACGGAAUAGCCCAGGGAAACUUGGAGUAAUACCGUAUACGCCCGAGAGGGGAAAGAUUUAUCGCUAUAGGAUGGGCCCGCGUAGGAUUAGCUAGUUGGUGAGGUAAUGGCUCACCAAGGCGACGAUCCUUAGCUGGUCUGAGAGGACGACCAGCCACACUGGGACUGAGACACGGCCCAGACUCCUGCGGGAGGCAGCAGUGGGGAAUAUUGGACAAUGGGCGCAAGCCUGAUCCAGCCAUGCCGCGUGAGUGAUGAAGGCCUUAGGGUUGUAAAGCUCUUUUGUCCGGGAC